rnacentral:rRNA from 1 species
AUUGAACGCUGGCGGCAGGCCUAACACAUGCAAGUCGAGCGGAGCGGCGGACGGGUGCGUAAUGCCUAGGAAUCUGCCUGGUCGUGGUGGAUAACGUCAGGAAACGGGCGCUAAUGCUGCAUACUCUCAGCUGAGCCUAGGUCGGGUUAGCUAGUUGGUGGGGUAAAGGCCUACCAAGGCGACGAUCCGUAACUGGUCUGAGAGGAUGAUCAGUCACACUGGAACUGAGACACGGUCCAGACUCCUACGGGAGGCAGCAGUGGGGAAUAUUGGACAAUGGGCGAAAGCCUGAUCCAGCCAUGCCGCGUGUGUGAAGAAGGUCUUCGGAUUGUAAAGCACUUUAAGUUGGGAGGCGUUACCAACAGAAUAAGCACCGGCUAACUCCGUGCCAGCAGCCGCGGUAAUUC